GAUAGAUUAUUGCAAUUAUUAAUCUUGAACGAGGAAUUCCUAGUAAUCGCANAUCAUCAANNUGCANUGAUUACGUCCCUGCCCUUUGUACACA
rnacentral:rRNA from 1 species